UUUUCUCCUCUGCCAGGUUAGGAGUUCUAGAAGCUUGUGACGUCAGCGGCCAUUGUCCAUCCGCUCUGCAGAUCCUAACUUUGGCUAUGGCUUUUUCUGCCCUCUGGUCUUGAGGAAUUCUGCAUAACUCAAACAAGGAAAAACAGACGAACUUGAGAACGAAUUUGUUUUGCUAAAAAUUGAUCCACGCACCCCCACCAAAGGCUUCCUCUUUUUUUGCCUUUUCCCACACGCACGUGAGCCCAAGGUGUCCCUCUGCCACCAAGAGAUGUCGGAGAGUGAGACUUAGGAAGAUUCACUUGUUAGAGAAGACAUGCAACCGCGAACAAAGACUUUUCAGUUGCUGACAUUUAAACGGCAUUUCGCAAGAAGACAAUAGGCAAAAAUGCUUGAAAGUCUGUCGAAAA